rnacentral:rRNA from 1 species
GGGUUGUGAGGUUAAGCGACUAAGCGUACACGGUGGAUGCCCUGGCAGUCAGAGGCGAUGAAGGGCGUGCUAAUCUGCGAUAAGCGCCGGUAAGGUGAUAUGAACCGUUAUAACCGGCGAUACCCGAAUGGGGAAACCCAGUGUGACUCGUCACACUAUCAUUAACUGAAUCCAUAGGUUAAUGAGGCGAACCGGGGGAACUGAAACAUCUAAGUACCCCGAGGAAAAGAAAUCAACCGAGAUUCCCCCAGUAGCGGCGAGCGAACGGGGAGGAGCCCAGAGCCUGAAUCAGCAUGUGUGUUAGUGGAAGCGUCUGGAAAGGCGCGCGAUACAGGGUGACAGCCCCGUACACAAAAGCGCAUGUGCUGUGAGCUCGAUGAGUAGGGCGGGACACGUGGUAUCCUGUCUGAAUAUGGGGGGACCAUCCUCCAAGGCUAAAUACUCCUGACUGACCGAUAGUGAACCAGUACCGUGAGGGAAAGGCGAAAAGAACCCCGGCGAGGGGAGUGAAAAAGAACCUGAAACCGUGUACGUACAAGCAGUGGGAGCCCCACCACCAAAGCAUUUGCUGUACCGCGUUGACGGAGCGAAGCGACGUCAAACCGAUAAAACAGCAGUGUAAAGUGAGCCGCAGGGCG